GACUUCGUGGUGCAACGGUAGCACGUCUUACUCCAGAUCAGAACUUUGCGUGUCCAAGUCACGUUGGGGUCA
rnacentral:tRNA from 1 species